AUGUGUUUCAGCCCAGAGGCAGAAAAGUUGAAAAAUGGGCUAUUUGGCCGGAGAAAGGGAAGAGAGCUGUGCCAGUUGUGUGUGUACAGCGGAGGCAAAGAGAAGAAACUCAUUCAGGCAGCAGUGGGAGCCGGACUCGUUCGUGGGAUAUACAGAAGAAACACAACACGGAGGUGCAGAUACAGUACAGUGUCCGAUGGUGCCAUGGCUGCAAGGAGCCAGAGUGGUGUGCUCCGAGUGGGUAUGCAUCCUUCCACUUUCCAGCUCCUUCUUAUUCUCUUUAGCCGCUUACUGGAUGCCCACGGUCAAGGUAAGAAUGUUUUCUGCUGUGUUCUUCUCAGUCUGAUUCAAGACAGAGAGCAUGCAUAGGGCCAUGGUUAUGUUUUCCCCACAACUUGUGGCCACAGUUAGUACAUUGUCACAUGUAUUUAUAUUUUAUUGUAUAUGUAUUGCAUGUAUUUGUUUUCCCUUUUGCACUGUGGUGCUAGAACAAUUAUUUUAACGGAUAGGUAUUUAUGAAAUGUUGGUUUUGGGUAGGGCUGUAUCAGUUUAACAGACAGAUGAACCAAUAAUGCAAUUCCUAGUCUUGGUACUGAUUGAGGAUCACAGUCUUAGCCUUUUUUUUGUUCAGAUUGUAUGUAAGGUUGCCAUUAGUUUGAUGACAGAUAACAACAGACCACCACUAGAAUACCACUAGAUAAAUACUAUAGGAACAUAGUGUUCUUUAUUGCUGCCACACUACAAAGCUCAUGAAAACAAUGUUUAAACAGAUAAAUACAACUGAAUAAAUUACAGCCUGUGUACAAUGUGUGAAACAGGAAUACAAUGCAUACAUGAUACAGAGUGUGAGUUUGAGUAAAAUAGUUCAUAAAUAAUUGUAUCCAGGUGUAUAAUGUGCAAAGGUACAGUAUGUAAGGUAUGUAGUAAGCUAUCAGUUUGUAGACCAGAUUUAAUCCUCAUAUCCUAGGGAGACAAGGCCACUAUGCCCUCUGCUGUCAAAGCACUCCACUGGCUUCCAUCCCUCCCUGUGACUGGUUUUAUUUAUAGCUGGCAGGAAUUGCUACACUAACAAGUGACAAGGGCUCAAGAUGCAUGCACACACGUGCACACACUCACACACAACACACGUGCAGCACACUAGUACCAACUUUCAGGGGUGGUAAGGGGCAGCAACAAGGUUAAUGCACGAGAAUUGGGAGUAGUGUAUCCAGCCCUUAUAAAAUGAGCUCUGAUUAAUGGGCCUCCGCUGUGGCAUAUGCCAGUGAAUCGUGUGGGAGGACAGGAGAGGACACGUGCCAGACCAAGAGAAGAUUAGAGCCAUCCUUAGAAACAAAUAUUAAACAUUUACCUGGCAUUUGGAAUUAUGAGUUUACAGUUUGAGUGUGAUUUUUGAAAAUAUUCUCUCAGCUGCUGUUCCUGUUAGAGAAGUAUUGACAGCUACUCCCAAAACUAUUGACCUUCAAACCUGAAACGUAAUUGGUUUGUUUAAUUGUCUGAGAAUUGCAAAUCACAAGGUUAACACAAGCUUUGUAAAGAUUAAUAAUGUGAAUGUUAAUGGAUGGUAAAUCUUUUAACUUAUUUGUCAGUAAUACUUUAGAGAGAAGGAAUUGGUGUGGUAAUUUUUGGCAGCCAGGAUUCAGCAAAAAAAUCCCCUCUUACAUUAUUACUUGACAAUGCUUGGACGGUAGGUCAAUCAUUUCCAACUCAGUCUCUCUGUAAUGAAGCACACUAACAAUGAGGAAACACUUUACACUCCAGUAGAGUAAUGUGCUUACACUUUAAAUACCACUAGUUGAAUUUAAAUUUGAGUAUAAACCUAUGCUUAGAAGGUUUUAUUUAUUUUUACUGCACUGCAUAUGAGUUUCUUUUUGGCCAACAUCUGGUUGUUAGUUUUUCAGCUACCCAUGCUUCUAUGACUUCUGCUGAGGAUAUGGUAUUCUUGUCAAGGUGAACUAUCUGCUGCAGAGACACAGGCAGGAGAGAGAGCUUUUCCCGUAGGCUUAUGGUUGGCAAGCCAAAUGCGAAUAAUGAAACAUUGGUGGCAGAGAUAAAUAACUUUUUAUAUACAGUAGUGAGCAACAAACAUUACAUAACUGUCAUUAUUUGAGUGUUAAGUGACAUUUUUAUUUUGACAUAAACAGCAAUAAUAAUGUUUGUUACAUUUCUGUAGAUACAGUCAGUCAAACAGAUACUUUGUUAUUUUUGUUAUGUUAGUAGGAGAACAAAAUGUCUGUCCAAGCUGUAACUCAUCUCAUAAAUUCAUCAUGAAAUUGCACAGAAGUGGCUGUUAGAAGGCCUCCUCCCCUGUGUUCUUGAAACAAAUUGGUGGCCUGUCAAAGUGUAACUAAACCCAUAAAUUCUUAUAGGUCCUUCCCUCCCAGCAGAUUUUAAAAGUUGCAGCAAAGGAUUGCACAGGUGAAUCAUAUAGGGGGUAUGGCUUUGAGGCGUUGUCACUAGAAGCACAGUAAAUGUUUCUUUGUGGUACCUGUGUUGUAACGUUAGCUAAGCUAGUGACUCAGCGAAGCUCACUCUCCGGUGUCUGUUGGGAAAUGUCACUAUGGCUACAUAGCAGGCCACAGUCUGCAGAGUCAGGAUGUUGGUUUUAUGGGAGCAGGCAUUGGGGGGGGGGAUGGUGGUUGUUCUGGUCAAGAUCAUUAUGUAAAUGCCUACAAAGAAAGUGUGCUGUUUAUACUGUUCUUGUGGAAGUACAAACAACUCUCAUACAUCUGUUUAUGGUAAUUCUGCCAAGUCACGAUCUUCAAGUAAACAAUCAAUGUGAAUGAUAUGCAAGUAAUUUCUCAGAUACACUGGACAGCCCUGGGUACAGCACUGGAGGCACGUCAGCUGCUUGUAAUGUGCCAAAAGACAACUCUGCUUUAUCAGCAGUGGUGGAAGCCUGCCAACCACCUUGCAGAUUGAUUUUUUUAUUACCAAGAAUAAAUGGAUAUUGAAUCUGUGAGUAACAGAGUGACCUGGCAAUGAAGACACUAAUGUAUUUAAGUCCAGUGUGGGAAAGUACAGUUUGACAGCUAAGCUGAUUCUAUUAGGUGUAGUGUUUUACAUUAACACAAUGAAAAGUGCCCAAACCUACAACUAGGAACAUUGAGAGACUCAUUACACUGGCAAUGGUUAUAUUUUUUCAACUCCUUCUGUAAGUACUAUUUCAUUUGUCAUGCUCUAUUUCAGUUUUAAAUUAACAGUAAACUGUGUCACUUUAUUUUAAUCCAAUCCAACUAUCUUACAGAAAGAGCAUCGUAAGAGCUGCUACAUGCAUUAUGAUGCUAUGUAACAGUCACCAGCACAAUUAUUGUUCAGAAUCACAGUAGCCAUUUUGCAUAAAAAGUAUUGUAAAUAUCAUUUUGCUUUCUGUAACUAUAAUGCUUGGAGAGUGCUGUGAUGGCUUGCCAUAACACAUUCCUGACAGUUCACUGUCUGCUUGCUGAUAUCUAGCAAACAUACCAGAGGGCUCAGACAGAGGCAGGAUACGACUACGACUAUCAUGCCGUUUGUCACUGCAGGCAUUUGGUUGAUCCUGACACCUGAGCCAACAUUCAAAACCUUGAGAGAGCAUGGCAGACAUUCAAAGUGCAAGUGUGGUGGCACAGAGUAAACUGUACUGCAGCCUUGCUGAAAGAAUGUUUGUAAUAAAUGAGUGGGUGUCCUGGCUCAUUGGCAUGACCCGAAGGCACCACAUUCUGGGGCAGAUCAUAAAUGACAAAAUACAAAAAGCAUGAGUUUUAAUACGUUAGUUUCUUGCAUGCCUGACUCCCUGUUGUAUAUUUUUCUUUACUUAAGGCAAAAACUGUAAAAUAUGACACUAUUAAAUUUUUUCUGCAUGAACAUGUUAUUAAUAUACCUCUAAUUAUGUGGACAAGAAGCUGUUAUUAGGGCAGUUUAUGCAGGCAUAGGCAUUAUCAUUAGAAAUUAUCUAAUAAAGUUGAAUUCAUAUGGAUCCAUGUGUGCAACAUAAGUUUCCCUUUCUCCUUUUU
ensembl:lncRNA